UCCUGUGUGGCUCAGUUGGUAGAGCAUGGUGUUUGCAAUGCCAGGGUUCUGGGUUUGAUUCCCACGGGGGAC
rnacentral:tRNA from 1 species